rnacentral:lncRNA from 1 species
AAAAAAGCAACAACCAACAAUGAAAAUCCAAGAAUCAGGAAGUGAGUUCUGCUUAAGUAAACCCCAGUCACCAGAAAUGCUGGCUUAAGAGAAAUAGGACUUUCCAAAAAACAGGUCUCAUGGGAGUUCCUCAUGGUUUGGAACUCUGUGGUGAGCAAUGUCACGGGGUACUCUCUCACGAGGAACAUGUCAGAAUGGGUUUGGAACAAAAGUUUGCUAAAGGGAUGGAAGCAGUCCAGAAAUGGGCGAGACAGGACUAUAAGGAAGGGUGAGAAAUGGACAGCUGAGAAAACUGGUCUGGGCAGAGGACGAGGAAGGAAGCCAGGAAGUAGAUCAAAGAAAGCCACCUCCAUGCACAGGGAGGAAGCCCACAAUUCCUACUGAGAAGUGUUCUGGGGAGAGGACGCCUGCAACUGACCAUCUCUGGAGCGUUUCACUGUAUUCAGAUGGACAUUAGGUGACGCCUCAGGUGUCUGAAGCAUCCCAGAGAGAACUGUCUCAGCCAGUGGCUCCAAAGUCAGAAAAGAAGGUUUUGCUGUUUUGCUUUUCAAAGCUUGACCCUCCUGGCUCUUACAUCACGCUUCUAAGAACUAAUUUUUGUCACAAAGGAACUAUUUCCAGGAGACUGAAAAAUGUCCUUUAAAAGCUGGCCUGUCAGAAGAGAUUUCAAAGAAAGAGUUUCAAAGGAUGAGAGUUAGAGAAGAGAAUAUUGAGAUUAAUAUUGGUCACUGUAGUAAGUACACAGUGCUCCUUCACCUCACUGGUGGAAAGGCAAGCAGAUAUGGGACUAAGUGGUCUCUGACAUCCAGGACUUCAGGACUCUUGCAGAUCAGUCCUGUUUAAGAAAAUUCUGAGCAGCACAAAGGCGGCAGUAAGAAUUUGGAUGAGAGAGUCAAGGCACAUUUGUAUUAGGUGCAAAAGAUAUUCUUCAGGCAAUCCCAUGCUCUCUCUCUUUACAAAGCCAUACAUAUCUAAUCUUCUCUAUGUUUUGUUCCUGGUUCUUUACUGCCCCACUGCAUUUGGAACCAGAGGCAUGACUUCUGAAGCCUGGAGAGAUACAACCAAGUUAAAC